GGGCCCAUAGCUCAGUUGGUAGAGCGCUACAUUUGCAAUGUAGAUGUCAGCGGUUCGAAUCCGCUUGGGUCCACAA
rnacentral:tRNA from 2 species